GUCAACUGGAAGAAAUCGGAAAGGAGCAUCAGCUGGUUUCUGAACUUCACAGAGUCCUUUCACUGUGUCUUUAAUUAGGCACCAUGACGUUUUUCAUCUCGGGGACUUGGAAGCAUCUACACACUGCAGAGGGAUGCACUUGUACUGGUAGGCGCCCUCGAAGUGGUUGGGGCAGUCGGCUGACACAUUCAGCAAGGCAGAGAUUCCGAUGGCGUCCAAAACCUCCUUCUUGGAGGCAUGGAGGGCGCUGCCGAGGUAGAGGAACGGGAGGAUCUCCACUGGGCCACCCUGGACACAGCACAGAUCCAAACUCUUUAAAGGGGAAGAAGAAAACACUCCGGCAAAGGGUAUAAAGUGUAUGACACUGGAACCCUGUCUUCAUCAGUUCUUUAUCACAUUAGAAAUGCCUCUUAUGGAGCAGAAGCAGCUUAUUAUCUGCGUGACAAGCACAAGUUCAGUACAGAUGGGCCGAUUUCUGCAUUGUUUUGACAUUUGCAACAUGCAAAAUGACCUGAGAAACAUUUCCAACCUCAAAACCACAAAAUUUAGACAAUAUUUGCUCGAUUGUGUGACAAGCUUUAGCCAAUACCGUCAUUUCUAACAGAUCUUCUAGGGAAAAAAAAAACAAGCUUUGCUAAAGCAUCUCCCCCUCCAGAAUGUCACUUCACUUUGGCAGCACUUGUUUUGCAGCUGCUGCUGUGCAAGGAAAAGCCCCACUGCGCCACAGUGCAGCGCACAUGCAUGGAGCAGCAGCUGAGUGAUUGCAUGAAUAUUUAUGACACUUCCUGGAGAAGAGAAGUAUCUGCAGCAGCGUGGAAAAAAAAACCUGAGCAUGAAGUUGCUUUUUGCAGAAAGCUUAUGAGAAAAAUAAUGUUGUUUAUAAACAACAACGCUGAGGUAUUGAGUUUUCAUUUGGGAACCACAAGCCAGACACAUUAUCUCACGAGGAGUGGAUGUAGUUUUACUGGGUGUGAGAGGUCAGCUGGUCUGCGGCAGUCUAUAAUGGCAGUGCCACUAAUCGACGAAAGCUCAAUUUGUUUGUGUCAUGGCGGCUGACGAGCUCGGCCCUGACACAGUCAGGAAAUGAUCAAUACCGCUAAGGGGUGUAGUGUGGGGCCGGACUGAUAGUGAGGGGGGCGCACAUCCAGAGCUUUCAGUCAUAUUUCUCCUUCCACAGUAAGCUUGAUUCUCCCCUUAAACGCGAUUGCACCUGACGGCAUGGCGGAGACAAUCGGGCAUUCUUCUUGGGAGGGGGGCGGGCGAAAUGCACACAGAGGCUGGGUUUGUGAGUGUCUCUCCCCUCACGCAUUCCAGGAGAUUUAAAGCACAUGUGACUGCGAGCGUUGCAUAAAAUCUGCAAGCUCAAACAACAGAUCACUGUCCAAAAAAACAACAAGGCCACCCAGGUCACAGGAAGUGAUGCAGGGCUAAAUCGAUCCUGAACUAUGACUUCCAGGGCAGCAAAUUGCAACACAGCCAAUUCAAACAAACCACAUGAAGCUGUUUACUCCUAAACAACAUGGGAUCAAAAAAAAAA